rnacentral:lncRNA from 1 species
UCAGCUCUGCAUUCCCUUCUUCUCUUUCCCUUUCUUUCUCUCAUCGAUUGAAGACACAAAAAUAAAGCUUUCUCCCUUAUUUCUACACCCCCCUCAAGUCGGAGGGGAGAGAAUGGACCCCCAACUUGUGCAAUAUGAGAUUAUAGGAAGCUCCUAGUAGAGAUUUGGUAAAAAGAUCAGUGUGAUGCUGGUGAGAUAGGACAAAGGAAAGAGUAAUUAGCCCAGAGAGAUACUGUUGGCGAAUAAAGUGACAAUCGAGCUUACAUACUUUAUUCACUUGUAAAAACAAGGUUACGUCGCGAUAUGUAUAACUGCUUCGCCAUCGGAGUGAACCGGAAUAGGAAGUGAAAGGGAAGAAGACAAAUCUGCGAGAAGGCAAACAAACCAAGUAAUUUCCGCAGUAACUCUUCUCAUAGACCUAUACUCUACUUUUGUAGAGGAAAGGGAUAUUGAUGCUUGCUUUUUCAAUUUCUAGGAAAUUGGUGCUCCAAGAAUGAUAAAGAAACCACGACGGACCUCCGAUAAUCUUUGUAAGCUGCUCAAUUGGAAUCAUAAAAAGCUAUAAAAUUGAAUGAGGGGUCUGAAAAUAGAAAAAUACCAUAUGAAGGGUUUGCAGAGAGAUAGCGUAGAACACGUAGGCCAGUAGUGAAAUGAGAAAGGCAUGGAAUUUGCAUAAAUUGGCUGAGGCAAAGCACAACAAAAGACAAACCAAGGCGAGUGUUUGUGAGAUAAUUGAGUUCGCCCAUCAAAUGUCGAUAAAGAGUGGGAUCUGAAAGAAGAGGCCCAUCGCCAGCACUGAGCAUGGAAUAAGAGUCAAGAGGUGAAGACACUGCUAAUCCAGAGAAGUCAAAUUCCUUCAAUCGAUUCAAGGUAAGUUGUCUUUGACUAAUAAUAAACCUUUGUUUUUCUCGAAGAAUUUCCAUCCCUAGGAAAUUAUGAAUGUCUACUAAGUUUCUAACCUUGAAUUCAGUAUUGAGAAAAGUUAUAAUUUGGUUGUUUCCUUCAAUGUCACUGCCUGUAAGCAAAAUAUCAUCGAUAUAAACAUCUAUGAUAGAAACUAGGUCCCCAGAUUGUUUGUAGAACAAUGAAUAGUCAUUGAGGGAACUUGAAUAGACCUUGUAGAUCAAUCCCCAGUAAACCUGGCAUACUCAUGGCUAGAGGCUUGCUUGAAACCAUACAAUAACUUUCUCAGAAGACAUGCUUUAGUAUGGUCAUGAGGGGAUAAUCAAGAAGGAAAUUUCAUAGAGAAUUCAUCUUGCAAGUCUCCAUGUAGAAAAGCAUGUUUACAUCAAGUUGUGAUACAUACCGCCCUUUCUUCAUAAUUACUGUUAAGAGACAUUUAAUUGUGGUCAUUUUCACGAUUGGAGAAAAGGUCUCUGAAUAGUCAAUUCUUUCUCUUUUUAUGCUCCCCUUACUACUAUCCUUGCCUUUAGCCUUUCUAUAAUAUCAUAUGACUUAUGCUUAACUUUGUAAACCCAUUUGCAUGGUAAUGCCUUCUUGCCUGGGGUAAAUUUACCACAUCCCAAGUAUAAUUUAGCUCUAGAGCUGCAAUUUCUGCCUCUAUUACCCUUUUCCAACAUGCUUCCUUACAAGCUUUAUGAUAGCUUGUUUGUUCUUAAAUGGUGGACACGCUCUUCAGAACAUUUUGAUUAUUGAGUGUGAGUGCUCCAAAAGAGAAAGUAGUAGGUUUAGCUGACUGAGUAAAACAUGAGGAGUUGAGAUCAAUGAGGACUAUACUAUUGCAUGCGUAAUCAUCUAGGUAUGUCGAUCUUUGAGUAACCCAUUCAGAUUUUCUGAUUGGAGGUAGUGGAAUGGGAAAAUGUGAAUGAGAGGUGAAAUAUGGGUAUUGGGAGUGUUACAUUGAUUGGUUGAUGUAUUUCUAGGUGAAUUUCCCAAGCCAAAACUUGGCAAAGGGGAAAAUAUUUUAGGAUGGUUAGUAGUUUAAUCACCUAUCCCAGUUGUUCUGCUUGGUGUAGAAAGAAAAUGGGAGGUAGUUAAAUCUGUUUCAGGUGUAGAGAUGAUGUUAAUAGGUGGUUGAACAGAAGGUGGGAUAUCAGAAGAAAUGGUAGGAGGGGAAAACAAGGGUUAAGGUGUUGUGGUUGACAAAGUGAAGGGGAAGUGUUCUUCAUGGAACUUGACAUCUCUGGAAAUAAACACCUUUCUUGUUUCAAUUUCCAGAACCUUCUAACUUUUUUGACCUUGUGCAUCUCCCACGAACACACAUGUUUUUGCUCUUGGCUCAAACUUACUCAUGUUAUAAGCCAAAGUAGAUGCAUAACAUAGACAUCCAAAAGACCUAAGUUAAUCAUAGUUAGGCGUUUUACAAGAAUAACCUCAUAAGGUGUCUUGCAUUUCAAAACUCUUAGAAGGUAUUCUGUUGCUAAGAUGAGUGGAUGUCAGCACACAUUCUACCUAGUGUUGAAUGAAGACCAUAGACUGGGAAACAGACCCCUUACAACUUCCAAAAGAUGCCUAUACUUUCUCUCAAUCACCCUAUUAUGUUGGGGUGUUAUACAACAUGUUUCAUAAAAUAUACCGUGUGAUUGAAGAAAGGAAGCUUCUUGUGAACCUUUCCCUAAUUCUGUUGCAUUAUCAGACCUUAUCCUUUUUACCUUCAUGCUAACUUCCCUUUCUACCAUAGUAAAGAAGGAUUUUAGAAUUGGAAAAGCAUUGCUUUUGCAACUUAACAGAAAAGUCCAUAUGGCUCUAUUGUAGUCAUCUACAACAGUUAGGAAAUACUUAAACCCAUUGUAUGUCUCAGUCCUAAAUGGACCCCAAGUAUCAAUGUGAAUCAAGUCAAAAAUCCCUUGGUUUUUAAUAUGACUUAGAGGAAAGAUGAGUCUAGUUUGUUUAGUUUGAGGACAAAUGUUACACACAUAAUCAAAAUUUGAAGGGAAAUUAAUGAAACUAAGAUUUUUCAUUAGUGAAAUAAGUAGAUGAUCCAAUCAGACAUGCCAUUGGCUUAUAUUAGAAACAACAUUUGCUACUAAAGGUGUUUGAAAAGAAACUGAAUUAGAAAAAUUAUUAGAAUUUCUUCCUUUUGGAAUUGAAACUACAUCUUGACAAGGUAGAAUGCUAGAAGCUACACUUGAGUAGAUAUAAUGCAUCUCUCAUUCACCAAAAACUUAUCCCCUCCUUAUUAAAGGGACAUGCGUUAGACAACCAUCUGAAGUUAGAUUUAAAUAGCAUUUGAAUUGACUACAUAACUUAUGAACAAAUAUUAAGUUACAUCUGAAGGAAGGCACAUAAAAGACUCUUUUAAGAAUCAAAUCUGACUGAAUGGAAACACUACCUAUAUGUGUAGCAUAUAAUUGAAAAGAUUUAGGUGGACUAAUAUGAAGAGGGACAGAAAGAUGAGUCAAAUCUAUGAAUGAGAUUGAAUCAAAACACAUAUGUUCUGAAGCUCCUGAAUCAAUGAUCAUUGUUUUAGUAUUAAAAGCUGAAAGACAAGUUCUAAUAUACUUAAGAAUUGUACUAGCCACUGCACUGGCAUUGAUUUCUGAACUUGUAUAUCCUGAGUUCCUAAUAUGCACCUACUUGAUUAAGUUAACUAGCUCAGAAACUUGCUCUUUGCUGAACGUUUGUUGCAUUAGGGUCAUAUUUAGACUUCUUUCCUUUGAAUUUUUGUGGAUUGUUUCCAAACUUUUGAGUGGCAGGCCAAGAUUUCUGAUUCUGAUUGUUGUUCCUUUGUUGGAACUUUGUCUGAGUUCCUACCAUGAAUGAUGCUCCAUCAGAACGGUAUUGAGGACUCAUGUAUACCUCUCUUUGACUCUCAUUCUAAAGUAAUAAAAAACAUGCAUUUUCUAGGCUGGGUAGAUGAUUGAUCAUAAGAAUACUUACUCUUGCUUGGUCAUACACAUCAUUAAGUCCUAUAAGGAAUUGAAUAACUCUUUGAUCUUUCAAAAACUUAGUGACCUUCUUCUUUCCAUCAUACACACAGUCACAGAUGCAUCUUAGGUAUGUGCUCUGACAGUCCAACGCAUCCCAUAGUCUCUUCAUGAUUGUAAAAUAGCCUGCUACACUGCUAUUCUCUUGAACUGUCUUAAAUAUCUCUCUUUUGUAGGUGAUAUUAUUUGGUCCCAUUAGAUUGGCCAAACCUGUGCUCAAGGGUUGUUCCAAAGUUCCAUUGCUGAUUUUCAAAAGAUAAUAUUACUCCUAUUUCUUUAGACAGUGAAUUUAGUAAUCAUGAAGUGACCAUGUCAUUGCACUUGCUCUAUUGAGGAAGAUCACUGGAAUCCGGACAUAAUUUCACACAGCUUUCAUUGAUGACACCAAGAUUAUUCUUGGCAUAAAGGACAAUUAGGAUUUACCUCCUCCAACCUGGAAAACCUCUCCCAUCAAAUGGUGAGUUGACGAGAGACAUGCCAGGUGUAUUAGAAGAGUGAAGGAAGUAUGGAUGAUUAGAGUUGAUUGAUUGUAGUGGAUGAAGAACCUGGGCUUUGAACAACUAGAGUAGAGAUGACCGGAGUAUCAUCUGUUACUGCCAUAGUUAGCAAAGAAGAUGAAGAAUUUUCUCUAUAUAUUGUAUAUCAUAUCAAACUCUCUAUAUAUAUAGGUGAAUGUGCUGAAAAUAAAAUGAAAACUAAAGAAUAUUCGAUAUAAAC